rnacentral:ncRNA from 1 species
CCCCCCCCCCCCCCCCUUUUUUGGGGGGGGGGGGGAAAAUUUUUUUAAAAACGUUUUUUUUUUCCGUUUCCGGGGGAUAUUCUCCUCAGUCCCGGGUCGUCUCGGCGCGUUUCCGAGCGGUCGCUCCCUCGCGAGGUGCCGCGGGUCAGCGGCUGACGCCAGCCACCUUCCCGACCCGUCUUGAAACACGGACCAAGGAGUCUAACAUGUGCGCGAGCCGCGGGGCAGUACGAAACCCGUAAGGCGAAAUGAAGGUGAACGCCGGCGCGGUCCGGCGGAGGUUGGAUCCCGUCCCGUCGGGGCGGGCGCACUACCGGCCGAUCUUCUCCGCCCUGUCGGCGAGGUCGAGCGAGAGCGUGCAAGUCGGGACCCGAAAGAUGGUGAACUAUGCCUGAGGAGGUUGAAGCCAGAGGAAACUCUGGUGGAGGACCGUAGCGAUUCUGACGUGCAAAUCGAUCGUCAAAUUUGGGUAUAGGGGCGAAAGACUAAUCGAACCGUCUAGUAGCUGGUUCCCUUCGAAGUUUCCCUCAGGAUAGCUGGCGCUCUGUCGCAGUUUUAUCUGGUAAAGCGAAUGAUUAGAGGUCUUGGGGGCGAAACGCCCUCAACCUAUUCUCAAACUUUAAAUUGGUAAGAAGCCCGACUCGCUCGUUUGGAGCCGGGCAUGGAAUGCGAGUGCCAAGUGGGCCACUCUUGGUAAGCAGGACUGGCGAUGCGGGAUGAACCGAACGCCGGGUUAAGGCGCCCGACGCGACGCUCAUCAGAGCCCACAAAAGGUGUUGGUUGAUAUAGACAGCAGGACGGUGGCCAUGGAAGUCGGAAACCGCUAAGGAGUGUGUAACACCUCACCUGCCGAAUCAAUCAGCCCUGAAAAUGGAUGGCGCUGGAGCGUCGGGCCUAUACCCGGCCGUCGCGGCGGUACGAGCAUCGAGUUGGUGCGCUAGGCCGCGACGAGUAGGAGGGCCGCGGCGGCGGGCGU